GUACAGGCUGCUGCCACGCCGGCUGGCUAGGUCGCUCUGCUUUUCGACCAACAGCCAAGCCUCCUUUCGGGCAAGCCUUGAUCACGUGGUACGCACCUGUGCCUGGGCUCCCGGCCCAGCCACCGCAGGGGGACUCUGCGGGAUAGCUGGGUCCGUAGACAUGCUGUCUCCCCAGGCCUGCAACCUGUCACAGGGGAUCGAUGCAGACUUCAAACCGGUGUGCGUGCUAGAGAGAGCACAAAGCCUCGCUCCUGUCCAGCCUUCCAGUCCUGGACAACGAGCCCGCGGAAGCGACAGUUUUCAUUGGCUGAGCCCGUCUGCGCUGUCUCUUCUGGGUAAUGUAGUUCAGAGAAGAUGCACCCUGGAAACAAGGACUCAGCCAAAGAAGCGGGAGCUAUAGAAGCGGCGUGCAAGGAGUUAAAGGGACUCCUGCAAUGGUCACAGAUGCGCCAGGGGUUUCCGUUUCGCUGAUCAUCAAGCCCACAGUAAGGGGGAUUCCUGGGUCUGCAUCCGGUGUGCAUUCCCAAACUUCCCUUCUCAAGGGGAUGCUCAGCUUAGAAGCCAAAGGUGGCAAUGUCAUAUCUGAUGUACAAAAAUGUGAAAUCAGUCCCAAUUCGGGAAAGAGGUCUCCGCUGUUCCAAGGUGGUGCAUUUCCUUUCUCCUCCACCUGUAUUCCUGUCUUUUCUCUCCUGGGUUUAGGAGAUGUUCAUUAUGGCAGAGCCAAAGGCUAGAUCCAUAAGCCAGCGCACACACACACACACACACACACACACACACACACACACACACACACACACACACACGGUCCCCUGCGCCCUUUCCUCUUCUGUAUUCCCACUACUCCACUAUUUGUGAAUUCCGAACCCACGCCCCACAGGUGGGCAGGAUGCUGCCGGUGCUGCGGAUUGAAGAGAUGCUAACCCUUCACUGUACACUAUUCUGCUGCUUUGGGCUACACUAUCAUGUCUCUGAUUCUCCCGAUUCUCUUUUUUCCACGAAGUAGGGAUGAACCUCCACAGGAGACCCUAGAAGACAAGAGAUGAUGAAAUAUUCCUGUCAUUCUGGAACAUUCUGGAGCUGGGUGGAGAGUGUUGAUUCUGUAAAGGUGUGUGUGUGUGUGUGUGUGUGUGUGUGUGUGUGUGUGUGUGAAUCAAUAUGGCCACUGACCAUGUGAUAUGCUAUUAAAGGUCUAAC
rnacentral:lncRNA from 1 species